UACAGAGGGUGCGAGCGUUACUCGGAAUUACUGGGCGUAAAGCGCGCGUAGGCGGCUUUGCAAGUCGGGUGUGAAAUCCCCAGGCUUAACCUGGGAACUGCAUUCGAGACUGCAUUGCUAGAGUAUGGGAGAGGGAAGUGGAAUUUCCGGUGUAGCGGUGAAAUGCGUAGAUAUCGGAAGGAACAUCAGUGGCGAAAGCGACUUCCUGGACCAAUACUGACGCUCAUGUGCGAAAGCGUGGGGAGCAAACAGG
rnacentral:rRNA from 1 species